rnacentral:lncRNA from 12 species
UGAGGCUGGAGGUUCCUGAGGGGCCUCUGGGUGAGGAACAGGCUCUCACCCUGGCCCGCCUACUCCGUUUUCUCCUGUCCCCCACUCCCCACCCCCCAGUCCUACAGAACUUACCCCAGGUGCCACAUGGAGUGCUCCAAUAAGAGAUGAAAUGAUUUUAGGAGUCCAGUAUCUUGGAACAGAGGCCCAAAGGGACUACACCUUCAGGCAUCGCCAAGAACUGCAGGUACCAAGGUGAAGCCCUGAAUCUAGGUUGGCAUUUGGUUUUAUUAUCAUAGAAUGUUAAGUAUGUGGAAAUAAGGAAGGAAGAAAGAAACCAAUCAUGUGAGGGGCAACAGGGAAAUGCAUAU